CAUGGUCAACUUAUAAAAAAAAGAUUAAAUCUCAGGGAAACACUCAUGGAGGCCCUUCAUUAUAUGUUACAGGUGUCAGAAGUGGAAAAAACUGAAAUCUUUAAGAUUUGUCUUGAGUACUGGAAUCAUUUGGCUGCUGAACUAUACAGAGAGAGCCCAUUCUCUACAUCUGCCCCUCCAUUGCUAUCUGGAAGUCAACAUUUUGAAGUUCCUCCCAGGAGACAGCUACUGUAUUUACCCAUAUUAUCCAAGGUCCGUUUGUUGAUGGUUAGUUGAAUGGCUAAACCAGCAGAAGUACUGGUUGAAGAAAAUGAUCAAGAAGAGGUUGUGAGAGAAUUCAUGAAGGAUACAGAUUCCACAAAUUUGUAUAAGAAUAUGUGAGAAACAUUAGUUUAUCUUAGUCAUCUGGAUUAUGUAGAUACAGAAAGAAUAAUGACUGAGAAACUUCACAAUCAAGUGAAUGGUACAGAAUGGUUGUGGAAAAUUUUGAAUACCUUGUGUUGGGCAAUAGGUUUCAUUAGUGGAACAAUGCAUUAAGAGGAUGAAAAAUGAUUUCUUCUGUUAUAAAGGAUCUAAAAGAGGCAAAGAUAAUAAAGCUAUUAUUGUAUCUAAUAUCAUGUACACAGUAGGUCAAUAUCCCAGGUUUUUGUGAGCUCACUGGAAAUUUUUGAAGACUGUAGUCAACAAGCUAUUUGAAUUCAUGCAUGAGACCCAUGAAGGAGUUCAGGACAUGGCUUGUGAUACUUUCAUUAAAAUAGCUCAAAAAUGCUACAGGCAUUUUGUUCAGGUUCGAGUUGGAGAAGUAAUGCCAUUUAUUGAUGACAUUUUGAACAACAUUAACACUAUAAUUUGUGAUGUUCAGCCUCAACAGGUUCAUACAUUUUAUGAAGCUGUGGGAUACAUGAUUGGGGCACAGACAGAUCAAACUGUACAAGAACACUUGAUUGAAAAAUACAUGCUACUCCCAAAUGAAGUGUGGGAUAGUUUUAUCCAGCAGGCAACCAAAAAUGUGGACAUACUGAAAGAUCCUGAAACAGUCAAGCAGUUUGGUAGCAUAUUGAAAACAAAUGUGAGAGCCUGUAAAGCCCUUGGAAGCCCCCUUUGUAAUUCAGCUUGGAAGAAUUUAUUUAGAUAUGCUUAAUGUCUACAAAUGCCUCAUUGGAAAUAUUUCUGCAGCUAUUCAAGCUAAUGGUAAGAUGGUUACAAAGCAACCAUUGAUUAGAAGUAUGCCAACAGUAAAAAGGGAAACUUUAAAGUUAAUAUCUGGUUGGGUGAGCUGGUCCAAUGAUCCACAGAUGGUAGGUGAAAAUUUUGUUCCUCCUCUGUUGGAUGCAGUUCUCAUUGAUUAUCGGAGAAAUAAUGUCCCGCUGCUAGAGAACGGGAAGUGCUUAGUACUAUGGCCAUUAUUGUGAACAAGGGGGACAUGUAACAGCUGAAAUACCUCAAAUAUCUGAUGCUGUUUUUGAAUGCACAUUGAACAUGAUAAAUAAGGACUUUGAAGAAUAUCCUUAACACAGAACAAACUUUCUUACUACUUCAGGCUGUAAAUUCUCACUGUUUCCCAGCAUUCCUAGCAAUUCCACCUGCACAGUUUAAACUUGUUUUGGAUUCCAUUAUUUGGGCUUUCAAACAUACUAUAAGGAAUGUUGCUGAUACAGGCUUACAAAUUCUUUUUACACUCUUACAAAAUGUUGCUCAAGAAGAAGGUGCAGUUCAGAGUUUUUAUCAAACUUACUUUUGUGACAUUCUUUAGCAUAUCUUUUCUGUUGGGACAGACACCUCACAUCCUGCUGGCUUAACAAUGCAUGAAUCAGUUAUUGCAUAUAUGUUUAAUUUGGUUGAAGAAGGAUAAAUAAGUACACCCUUAAAUCCUGGAAAUCUAGUUAACAAUCAAAUGUUUAUUCAGGAGUAUGUGGCUAAUCUCCUUAAGUCAGCAUUUCCUCACAACAAGAUGCUGACAUAAAGCUCUUUGUGACAGGGCUUUUUGUGACAGCUCUUUGUGACAGGGCUUUUCAGCUUAAAUCAGGAUAUUCCUGCUUUCAAGGAACAUCUAAGGGAUUUCCCAGUACAGAUAAAGGAGUUUACCUAG